AGUGAACGCUGGCGGCAGGCCUAACACAUGCAAGUCGAACGGCAGCACAGGGGAGCUUGCUCCCUGGGUGGCGGGUGGCGGACGGGUGAGGAACACAUCGGAAUCUGCCUAUUUGUGGGGGAUAACCUCGGGAAACCGGGACUAAUACCGCAUACGACCUACGGGUGAAAGCCGGGGACCUUCGGGCCUGGCGCAGAUAGAUGAGCCGAUGUCGGAUUAGCUAGUUGGAGGGGUAAAGGCCCACCAAGGCGACGAUCCGUAGCUGGUCUGAGAGGAUGAUCAGCCACACUGGGACUGAGACACGGCCCAG
rnacentral:rRNA from 1 species